CAAUUCUCCUGUCUCAUCAUCCCAAAGUGCCAGGAUUACAGAGCACAUGAGCCUGCAAGGCCCAGAUCAACACCUGACUCAGACAGAACACCAGGGCAGUGCACAGCUGGGAUUUCAGUCUCUGCUCUCAGCUCCCAGGUCCACUGGCUCUACUGAGGGCACCUACACUCUGCAGCCAGGCGGCCUGGAUUGAACGCCCUGCCCAGGACCCACACACAGGCACUGCAGCAGCGACAGGAGGAGGGGGCGCUGGGAACAGGAAGGACACCACCGCUUGGCCUCCGGCACCGGAGGGACAACCUGGAGGGCUCCGGGAGCACCGCAAAGGUCCAAGCGGAGCCAAUCCUCACAAGCCCAGGGAAGGGCAACGUGACAGGCCGGCGGGACAGCCCCACCGCCGCGAAGAGGGGCUGCCCAAAAGGCAACAGCCAUAGGAGAUGAGCAGGGGUGCCUGCUGCGUCGGAGAACUCAUCUCCCCAACCCCACCGACGCCACAAGGUAGAGGGCGAGGACAGCGAGGUCGGCCGGAUUCCGCACCCCUGCCUCCAACCACCGCCCAUGGGCGGGGAGGAGAGACUACCGACCGCAAGCGGAACGCAGAACGAGAAGAGCCGUCCCGUUAGCCAUGAAUGUGUCCCUCAUCUGUACCGCCUCCGGCCCCGCCCGGGAGAACGCGACGUCACCACAUCCAUCACUUGUUCUCUUUCACUCUUCCCGUUCUUUCCUUUUCCCAGUAUAUUUAUAUAGUAAUUAUGUUUAAUUCAGCCACUCCUUGUUUUUUUCCGUGACUCAUCUUCUCAUAUGUCAACUUGACUACUUUUCACUUGCUUCGUAGUAUUUGUUCUUCCUCAAGUUAAUACUUGCCUUUGUUUUUGUUUAUGUUCUAGAUAACUCUCAUUAAUUUAACUUUGAUAUCUGUUCCAUUUCUGUGACUCUGUUAAGAAAUUAGAGACUUUGAACUUUCUAUUAAUUUUACUUUCUUGGAAAUGUCCCUCUUGGGCCCUUCUGGCUGCUCCCAUCUGGACUGGAGGCUUCUACCUGUGGGACAGAGUCACCUUCCUAGGAUCUCCCUCCACCACCAUCUGGGGCGGUGCUUUACAUGCAGUGGAGCCACCUGGGGUCCUGACAAAUGCAGACUGAUCAACCUGUCAAGGCUGGGCCUGUGAGCCUUUCUGUCCAGUUUCAUGAGAUGCUGGUUCUGCUGGUUCAUGGAUAAUAGCUGGGGUAGCAAGGAUCUCUCUUUUUGUCUCACAGUUUUCUGCAUCUCUUUUUCAUAGUAAGCACAUGCUAAUAUAUUUUCAAUAAAUUCAUGUGCUCUUUUCCUAAGUUGGUAUCAGAGCUAAUUAUUUUUUUCAUUGCGCCAAAAUCCAUAUUAUAUAAAAUUUGGUAUCGUAACAAUUUUUAAGUAUAGAGUACUAUAAUAUGAACUGUAGCACAUUGUUAUGCAACAGAUCUCUAGAACUUUUCAUCUUGCAAAACUGAAACUCUACGCUGAAAAUCUCCUCAAGAAUCCCCCCAGCCUAACCACUGGCAGCCGCCAUUCUACUUUCAGGUUCUAAGAGUUUAGACGCCGCAUAUAACGAAUUGCGCAGUAUUGGAAUUUCCUUGUGAUUGGCUUAUUACACUUAGCAUUGUUCUCCAGGUUCAUCCAUGUUGCAGCAUGUAACAGAAUUUCCUUCUUUUUAAGGUUGAAUCAUAUUCCAUUGCCUACAUAGACCACAUGUUCUUCAUCUAUUCAUGUGUUGAUGGGUGCUUUGUUUGCUUCCUUGUCUUGGCUAUGGUGAGUAAUGUUGCUGUGAAUACGGGUAUGCAAUGUUUUUCUUUUUUACAGCCUCCCUCAUUUCAGUGGAAUUAAUGUUUUAGUAGCUACUUCUGAUAGCACAUAUUUAAAGUAUUUUUGCAUGCAUCAAUGUGUCCAUUGUUGUUUUGAUUCUCUCCUGGAAGAGGAUGGAAAUGUAUGAAGGUGCUGUUUGGCACAGUAUUUAAUGGUGAAGAAGAGACGGUGUAACUGACCAGUGCUGGGUCUCAGCAUCCUGCAAUUUCAGAACUACUGUGAAUGCAAAAAUAAUUAAAAAAACCAGUGCUGCCCAGAAAGGGGGAGUCAUCCCUAAAUAUGGCGGCCCUGGGACAGCUGGCCUCCCUGCCAGGCCUCUUCCAUGGGGGCCCUUUUCUGCAGUGACUGGGAUUUCUUUCCAUUUCACUCUACCCUGUGUCCUGACCCAAGAGACAAGGCAUGUCUGCAGCUGUGCCCACACUUGGAGUGUGUCAGUACAUUAUAAACACUGGCUCAGUGGUGUUAGUACAUUAUAAACAUUGGCUUAUCAUGGGUUAUUUUAUUAUUUAUUGUGUAUUUUGAUUUCACUUUACUGGCAACACAAUAAACAAUGACAUGAUGACCCUA